CAUGCAAGUCGAGCGCGGGAAGCAAGGGAUCACCUUCGGGGUGUGAACUUGUGGAACGAGCGGCGGACGGGUGAGUAACACGUGGGCAACCUACCUAUAAGAUCGGGAUAACUCGCGGAAACGCGAGCUAAUACCGGAUAAUGUAUUCCACCUCCUGGUGGAAUGAUGAAAGACGGUUUCGGCUGUCACUUAUAGAUGGGCCCGCGGCGCAUUAGCUAGUUGGUGGGGUAAUGGCUCACCAAGGCAACGAUGCGUAGCCGACCUGAGAGGGUGAUCGGCCACACUGGGACUGAGACACGGCCCAGACUCCUACGGGAGGCAGCAGUAGGGAAUCUUCCGCAAUGGACGAAAGUCUGACGGAGCAACGCCGCGUGAGUGAUGAAGGUUUUCGGAUCGUAAAACUCUGUUGUUAGGGAAGAACAAGUGUGAGAGUAACUGCUCACACCUUGACGGUACCUAACCAGAAAGCCACGGCUAACUACGUGCCAGCAGCCGCGGUAAUACGUAGGUGGCAAGCGUUGUCCGGAAUUAUUGGGCGUAAAGCGCUCGCAGGCGGUCUUUUAAGUCUGAUGUGAAAGCCCACGGCUUAACCGUGGAGGGUCAUUGGAAACUGGAGGACUUGAGUACAGAAGAGGAGAGUGGAAUUCCACGUGUAGCGGUGAAAUGCGUAGAGAUGUGGAGGAACACCAGUGGCGAAGGCGACUCUCUGGUCUGUAACUGACGCUGAGGAGCGAAAGCGUGGGGAGCGAACAGGAUUAGAUACCCUGGUAGUCCACGCCGUAAACGAUGAGUGCUAGGUGUUAGGGGGUUUCCGCCCCUUAGUGCUGCAGUUAACGCAUUAAGCACUCCGCCUGGGGAGUACGGCCGCAAGGCUGAAACUCAAAUGAAUUGACGGGG
rnacentral:rRNA from 1 species